UUUCAUACGCACUUGAACCAAGAACAACUACGAAUUGUAAACGAGCAAAGCACCACAAAGAAUGUUGACACGAAGACGUACUCGAAAACUAGUUCACAACUUAGUAGGUUGUUACUUAGUUGCCAACUAGUGUGGGAGUCAAUAGAAAGAAAACUAGAAGAGACAAGGAAAGAAACUUGGAAGGUCCUAUGACUUGAGUUUUGUUGUUGAUGUGGCCUACAAUUUUAAUUUUUGGCCGUUUGGUGCUGUUGUUUUGUUGAUAUUUGAUGUUGUCCAACUUGAAUGAUUCAAUUUUGUUUGUUUGGUGAGGCUUUUUCGG
rnacentral:lncRNA from 1 species